rnacentral:misc_RNA from 1 species
GAUGAAGAACGUAGCGAAAUGCGAUAAGUAAUGUGAAUUACAGAAUUCAGUGAAUCAUCGAAUCUUUGAACGCACCUUGCACCCUUUGGCAUUCCGAAGGGUAUGCUCGUUUGAGUGUCAUUGUACUCUCACACUCCCGAUCUUUGGAUUGGGAGCGGUGGACUUGGGUUUGCUGCUUGCCGUGGCUCACCUCAAAUGGAUUAGUGCAACUCUUGGUUGACCAUAGUACGGCGUGAUAAGUGUCUUCGCCGGCACCUCACUGGGUGGGCCGAUCGGGAGCUCUGUGCUUCAAACCGUCUUCGGACAACAACUGACAACUUGACCUCAAAUCGAGUAGGACCACCCGCUGAACUUAAGCAUAUCAAUAAGCGGAGGA